rnacentral:rRNA from 1 species
GAUGAACGCUGGCGGCGUGCCUAAUACAUGCAAGUCGAGCGAAUGGAUUAAGAGCUUGCUCUUAUGAAGUUAGCGGCGGACGGGCGAGUAACACGUGGGUAACCUGCCCAUAAGACUGGGAUAACUCCGGGAAACCGGGGCUAAUACCGGAUAACAUUUUGAACCGCAUGGUUCGAAAUUGACAGGCGGCUUCGGCUGUCACUUAUGGAUGGACCCGCGUCGCAUUAGCUAGUUGGUGAGGUAACGGCUAACCAAGGCAACGAUGCGUAGCCGACCUGAGAGGGUGAUCGGCCACACUGGGACUGAGACACGGCCCAGACUCCUACGGGAGGCAGCAGUAGGGAAUCUUCCGCAAUGGACGAAAGUCUGACGGAGCAACGCCGCGUGAGUGAUGAAGGCUUUCGGGUCGUAAAACUCUGUUGUUAGGGAAGAACAAGUGCUAGUUGAAUAAGCUGGCACCUUGACGGUACCUAACCAGAAAGCCACGGCUAACUACGUGCCAGCAGCCGCAGUAA